rnacentral:rRNA from 1 species
GAGGGGCAGCGGGGAGGAAGCUUGCUUUCUCCGCCGGCGACCGGCGCACGGGUGAGUAACACGUAUGCAACCUGCCCCUGUCAGGGGGACAACCCGCCGAAAGGCGGGCUAAACCCGCGUACAUGCCACCGGGGCAUCCCGGAGGCAGGAAAGGCUUCGGCCGGACAGGGAUGGGCAUGCGGCGCAUUAGGCAGUAGGCGGGGUAACGGCCCACCUAACCGACGAUGCGUAGGGGUUCUGAGAGGAAGGUCCCCCACACUGGUACUGAGACACGGACCAGACUCCUACGGGAGGCAGCAGUGAGGAAUAUUGGUCAAUGGUCGGGAGACUGAACCAGCCAAGCCGCGUGAGGGAGGAAGGUACAGAGUAUCGUAAACCUCUUUUGUCAGGGAACAAAGGCGGGGACGUGUCCCCGGAUGAGUGUACCUGAAGAAAAAGCAUCGGCUAACUCCGUGCCAGCAGCCGCGGUAAUACGGAGGAUGCGAGCGUUAUCCGGAUUUAUUGGGUUUAAAGGGUGCGCAGGCGGUCUGUUAAGUCAGCGGUCAAAGCCCGGGGCUCAACCCCGGCCCGCCGUUGAAACUGGCAGUCUCGAGUUGGAGAGAAGUAUGCGGAAUGCGCGGUGU